GAUAGAACCUGUGUCCUCAUGGAUGCUAGUCAGAUUCGUUUCCGCUGAGCCAUGACAGGAACUCCAGAAGACCACGUUAUUGCAUGAUCCCUUUUCAUUUACAUGAAAAGCCUGGAAAGGGCAGACCCGCAGGACAGAGAGGAGAUUCGCAUUUUCCAGAGACUGGGAGAAGGGAAUGGCAGGGGAUUGCUAAUGGGCACGGGGCUCACUGCCAGGAGGAUGAGAUGUUCUGCUGCUGGGUAGUGGUGAUGCUUACACAGCCUUGUGGAUAUGCUAAAACCACUCAACUGUCCACUUUAAAAGGGUGUGUUUUAUGGUGUGUGAAUUCCAUAAUAAACUAAAAAGUAAAAUAAAAUGAAAACGUUAAAAGUAAAUACCACCUAAUCUGUACCUUGAGGCAGCUCCCGGUGUACUGGGGAGACAGUUUGGUCCAGGUGAGUAUGAGCCUUUCCCCUGUGUCUGUUAGGUCCAUGGGGGCAGGAGUUUUAUUUGAUAAUUUUAUUUACCAUUGUCUCCCAGCACCCUGCACAGUGCCCGGUCCUAAGAGGCUCUCAAGAAGUACUUGCUGAAUGAAAGGUUGAGUGUGUCAAGUCCUAUGACAGUUAUAGGUCCCAGAGGAGGAGCUAAAGGGGUCCAGAGAAACCACAGGCUGUGACAUGUGACAUGGACAAGGCUGACCGUACCACAACGCCACAAAGAUUUUCAAAGCCUUCCCCAGUGGCUAAUCCAGGCGAUCCUGACUCCCCAAGUAGAGUCCAGCAGGGGCACCUCCUUCCAACACACUGCCUACUCUGCUCCCCGGGACCCCAUCCUUUUGGAUACUCCAGACUCAGUGCAGAAGCUGAGCCAGUCUGGACCCACUCUGCUCCGCCCAGGGAGCUCGCUGUCUCAAGAAAGAGGUGUGAGUGCACACACUCCCACAAAAUGUCUAACCGCGGAGUGUGAGAAGGAGAACAGAGCCAGGGCCAAAGUCGAGGGAGUGGGUCCCCGAAGGUUUCCCGGAGGAGGUGAUAGCGUGAGGGACCUUAAAACAUGAGCAAUGGAUUGGUUCUGAAAGACGGUUUCUGGGUCGGUAUAGCUCCUCUAUUCCUUUCACAAAUCGUGGUUUGUUUUCCUAUUCCUCCUUCCAAGGAGGGCUCCAUAGAGCCUUAGAGAGGAUUUAAUAUCAUCACCAAAGCCCCAGUAAGCCCCCCCCCCCCGAGGUGAGCUACCCAGAGGUAAGUGUCUUAAGAAAUGGAAACUGCUUUUUGACUUCUUGAGACAGCCAAAAGGAAGUGAAUAUUUUUUAAAGUCUGGUUUCAAGGGCCUUAUAAUGCUGGGUGGCUGAGACUGGCAAUGAAGUGUCAUUGACAUGUGAGUGACUUGGCAGAGGACUCUCCAUCACAAGCCCGAGCCCAGAGGAGAAAGAAAUCUGCAGAACUAUGCAUUGCAGUCUUGGCAGGAUAUCAGAGCAGGAAGAGCAAAGGCUUUGCAGUCAGACAAAGCUGGGUGUGAAAAACAGCCAUGCCGCUCACCACCUGUGUCCUCUUAGGAGCGGCAAAUCCUGCGCUUCAGUCUGCUCGUGUGUGAUAUGGGGAUGUAGUCCCUGGCCACCUGGGUUGCUCUGAGUUCAAAAGGAUAAUAUGUGUGAAGCAUCCUGAUCAAUGUCUGGCCAAUAAGAGAUCCUCCAGAAAUUGCAGGUGUUCAUGGAGGAGGCAAGGCCUCAGCCCAGUGAGAGUUGCUGCUUCAACACUGGCUGAUUUACCAGGGAUUUCAGAUAGUCGCUGGACAUGCAAAGCUGUUGAUAGGAUUACAGACACCACAUCCAAAAGAAUCUGGGCCAGCCUGGAGGGUCUGGGUGUGCCUCCCGCAUCCUUCUUUCACCCUGACGCCUCAGGGCGGUGCAGGUGAAACUCCG